AUUGAACGCUGGCGGCAUGCCUUACACAUGCAAGUCGAACGGCAGCACGGGAGCAAUCGUGGUGGCGAGUGGCGAACGGGUGAGUAAUAUAUCGGAACGUGCUCAGUCGUGGGGGAUAACGCAGCGAAAGCUGUGCUAAUACCGCAUACGCGCUAAGGAUGAAAUCGGGGGAUCGCAAGACCUCGCGCGAAUGGAUCGGCCGAUAGCAGAUUAGCUAGUUGGUGGGGUAAAGGCCCACCAAGGCGACGAUCGGUAGCUGGUCUGAGAGGACGACCAGCCACACUGGAACUGAGACACGGACCAGACUCCUACGGGAGGCAGCAGUGGGGAAUUUUGCGCAAUGGACGCAAGCCUGAUCCAGCAAUGCCGCGUGCAGGAUGAAGGCUUUCGGGUUGUAAACUGCUUUUGUACGGAAAGAAACGGUCCUUUCUAAUACAGGGGGCUAAUGACGGUACCGUACGAAUAAGCACCGGCUAACUACGUGCCAGCAGCCGCAGUAA
rnacentral:rRNA from 1 species